CGGCGGACGGGUGAGUAACGCGUGGGUAACCUGCCUCAUACAGGGGGAUAACAGUCAGAAAUGACUGCUAAUACCGCAUGAGACCACGGUACCGCAUGGUACAGUGGUAAAAACUCCGGUGGUAUGAGAUGGACCCGCGUCUGAUUAGGUAGUUGGUGGGGUAACGGCCACCAAGCCGACGAUCAGUAGCCGACCUGAGAGGGUGACCGGCCACAUUGGGACUGAGACACGGCCCAG
rnacentral:rRNA from 1 species